rnacentral:tRNA from 1 species
CCUGGUGGCUCAGAUGGUAAAGCGUCUGCCUACAAUGCAGGAGACCCAAGUUCAAUCCCUGGGUCAGGU